rnacentral:rRNA from 1 species
GACGAACGCUGGCGGCGUGCUUAACACAUGCAAGUCGAACGGUGAAGCUCCAGCUUGCUGGAGUGGAUCAGUGGCGAACGGGUGAGUAACACGUGAGCAACCUGCCCCAGACUCUGGAAUAAGCGCUGGAAACGGCGUCUAAUACUGGAUACGAGAUCAAGCCGCAUGGUUAUGGUCUGGAAAGUUUUUCGGUUUGGGAUGGGCUCGCGGCCUAUCAGCUUGUUGGUGAGGUAAUGGCUCACCAAGGCGACGACGGGUAGCCGGCCUGAGAGGGCGACCGGCCACACUGGGACUGAGACACGGCCCAGACUCCUACGGGAGGCAGCAGGGGGGAAUAUUGCAAAAUGGGCGAAAGCCUGAUGCAGCGACGCCGCGUGGGGGAUGACGGCCUUCGGGUUGUAAACCUCUUUCAGCAGGGAAGAAGCGAAAGUGGCGGUACCUGCAGAAGAAGCACCGGCUAACUACGUG